UACCAUCGAGGGCCGAGGCCCUCCAGUCUUCCCCCGCUCUGGUCUCAAGAGAAAUAAUUUAAAAGGAAAAAAAGAGAAAAGAAAAGAAGAAGAAAAGACUUCAAGCUAUCGUCUAUCUAAAGCUCUCUCUCUGAAUAAGUGAAUAUAGAGAAAAUAAGAAAGAAGAUGCCUUGGGAUACGAAGAGUCUAUACAUACGGUCUACGCUGUAUUUAUACGUACGAAGGCUUAGCCGCCAGGUGGACGAGCUCGGUUGGCUUGGUAGGCGACGAGACUACAGCAAGAGGAGUGGCUUCGUCCAGAGCUCAGCUAGGUGUGAAGUUGGAGCGGUCAAGGUCAAGGGAUGUGUAGAUUCCAAGCGGCAUGGGUUUGAGUCGCGGGUGGCUCGGAGUCGGAGCUGCUCGCGACUUCAAGCCGUGGUGACACCGAUACCUACGACAAAGAAGAGAGUGUUCACCUUCGGCAAGGGCAAGAGCGAAGGCCACAAAGGCAUGAAAUCCUUGUUGGGUGGAAAAGGAGCAAAUUUGGCAGAGAUGGCGAGCAUCGGGCUGUCGGUGCCGCCGGGGCUGACGGUAUCGACGGAGGCAUGCCAAGAGUACCAGGAGAACGGCCGGAAGCUAUCGCCGGCACUCUGGGAGGAGAUACUGGAAGGACUGCAAGCUGUGGAGGAAGACAUGGGAGCUGGGCUGGGCGAUCCCUCCAAGCCCCUCCUCCUCUCCGUCCGAUCUGGUGCUGCGGUGUCGAUGCCGGGGAUGAUGGACACGGUGCUGAACUUGGGACUGAACGACGAGGUGGUGGCUGGGAUUGCGGCCAAGAGUGGGGAGCGUUUCGCCUACGACUCGUACCGGCGAUUUUUGGAUAUGUUUGGCGGCGUGGUGGUGGGCAUUCCACACUCACGGUUUGAAGAGAAACUGGAAGCCCUGAAAGCUGCGAGGGGGAUCAGCGUCGACACAGACCUCAGCGCCGCAGACCUCAAAGAGCUCGUUGUCCAGUAUAAGGAUGUAUACAUUGAGGCCAAAGGAGAGCACUUUCCUUCAGACCCAAAGAGGCAGUUGUACUUGGCAGUGGUGGCGGUGUUUGAUUCAUGGGACAGUUCACGAGCAAAGAAGUACCGGAGCAUUAAUCAGAUCACUGGGUUGAAGGGGACUGCGGUUAAUAUCCAGUGCAUGGUGUUUGGGAACAUGGGGAACACCUCAGGGACUGGUGUGCUCUUCACGAGGAACCCCAGCACUGGGGAGAAGAAGCUGUAUGGGGAAUUCCUCAUCAAUGCUCAGGGUGAGGAUGUAGUUGCUGGAAUCAGAACUCCACAGGAUUUGGAUGUUAUGAAGCAGUGCAUGCCAGAAGCCUACAAAGAGCUUGUUGAGAAUUGUAGCAUUCUAGAGCGCCAUUAUAAAGAUAUGAUGGAUAUUGAAUUUACAGUACAGGAAAAUAGGCUUUGGAUGCUGCAGUGUAGAUCAGGAAAGCGCACGGGCAAAGGUGCUGUCAAGAUUGCAGUAGACAUGGUUAAAGAAGGCCUUGUUGAUACUCAUUCUGCUAUAAAGAAGGUGGAACCAGGGCAUCUGGACCAACUUCUGCAUCCACAGUUUGACGACCCAUCUGCAUACAAAGAUAGAGUGAUUGCUACAGGCUUGCCUGCAUCACCGGGGGCUGCAGUUGGCCAAGUUGUAUUCACUGCUGACGAUGCUGAAGCAUGGCAUGCCCAAGGGAAGACUGUUAUUUUGGUGAGGACAGAGACUAGCCCAGAGGAUGUCGGGGGCAUGCAUGCUGCUGUUGGAAUUUUGACAGCAAGAGGUGGAAUGACUUCUCAUGCAGCUGUUGUGGCACGUGGAUGGGGAAAAUGUUGUGUAUCUGGCUGCUCUGAUAUCCGAGUGAACGAUGCAGACAAGGUCUUUUUUGUUGGAGAGAGAGUGAUCCAUGAAGGUGACUGGCUAUCAAUGAAUGGAUCAACUGGAGAAGUAAUCAUGGGAAAACAGCCACUUUCUCCACCAGCUCUUAGUGGUGACUUGGGAACCUUUAUGGCUUGGGUUGAUGAAAUAAGGCAACUUAAGGUCAUGGCAAAUGCAGACACACCAGCCGAUGCGCUGACGGCAAGAAACAAUGGUGCAGAAGGGAUUGGACUCUGUAGGACAGAACACAUGUUCUUUGCUUCAGAUGAAAGAUUAAAGGCUGUGAGACAGAUGAUAAUGGCAGGAAAUCUUGAACAGAGGCAAAGAGCAUUAGAUCUCCUCUUGCCUUACCAGAGAUCUGACUUUGAAGGCAUAUUUCGUGCUAUGGAUGGACUUCCUGUGACUAUCAGAUUAUUAGAUCCUCCACUCCAUGAGUUUCUGCCAGAGGGUCACAUUGAGGACAUUGUGGGUCAACUGUCUUUGGACACUGGCAUGACAGAAGAGGAAGUCCUUGCAAGAGUUGAAAAGCUCUCUGAAGUAAAUCCCAUGCUAGGUUUCCGUGGCUGCAGGCUUGGUAUAUCAAACCCAGAGUUAACCGAAAUGCAAGCACGUGCUAUCUUUGAAGCUGCUAUUUCCAUGAGCAAUCGGGGUGUCAAAGUUCUUCCAGAGAUAAUGGUGCCUCUAGUUGGAACACCUCAGGAAUUGGGACAUCAAGUGAGUCUGAUACAAAAAGUUGCUGAUAAAGUCUUCUCUGAUAUGGGCACCUCAUUAAGCUACAAGGUUGGGACUAUGAUUGAAGUUCCUAGGGCUGCCCUUGUUGCAGGCGAGAUUGCAGAACACGCAGAGUUCUUUUCUUUUGGAACAAAUGAUCUUACUCAAAUGACAUUCGGUUACAGUAGAGAUGAUGUUGGGAAGUUUCUGCCUAUCUACUUAUCCAAGGGCAUCCUCCAAAAUGAUCCCUUUGAGGUUCUUGAUCAGAAAGGAGUGGGCCAGCUUGUUAAAAUUGCCACAGAAAGAGGACGGAGAGCUAGGCCUGACUUAAAGGUAAGUGGCUUACAAGUGUGCAUUGGAUCUGUUUCAAACCAUGAAAUUGUGUGGGUCUACUGUUCUUUUAUGAAAGAAAAAGAGUGGUUCUAUGUGGAUUCGAGUGUUUGGGUUGGUGAAACAGGUUGGCAUAUGUGGUGAACAUGGUGGAGAGCCUUCUUCAGUUGCAUUUUUUGCAGAAGUUGGACUGGACUAUGUCUCAUGCUCCCCAUUCAGGGUUCCAAUUGCCAGGCUAGCGGCAGCUCAAGUGGCAGCUUAGAGAGACUCCAAGACGUGUACAGACAAACAAAACAUCUGAAAAGUUGUGCAAGCACACAAUAUAUGCUGCAAAAAACAGCAAUAAGUGCUUCCCAAUAACUAAAUCCUAGUUGUGUUAAUAAGAAACUUAGAGUUCAACCUAAGUAGAAUGUAAAUAUGUUGUAUAACAUGUUAAACCAGUAUAAUAAUAAUGUUUUCUUUUUUGGUCAUGCA